rnacentral:rRNA from 1 species
UACGUAGGGGGCAAGCGUUGUCCGGAUUUAUUGGGCGUAAAGCGCUCGCAGGCGGCUCGAUGCGUCGUGCGUGAAACACCCCGGCUCAACUGGGGAGGGUCGUGCGAUACGGUCGGGCUGGAGGCCAGUAGGGGGAUGCGGAAUUCCGGGUGUAGUGGUGGAAUGCGUAGAGAUCCGGAGGAACACCAGCGGCGAAGGCGGCAUCCUGGACUGGUACUGACGCUCAUGAGCGAAAGCUAGGGGAGCGAAUGGG